AUUUUUUACUGCCUUGGCAGAGGACACGGAGACCCUCCCCCAAGUAAAUAAAUAGAUAGAUAGACAAGAUACAUCCGUGCAGGAAAUAAUUUCCGUCCUCCUUUCGAACAAACAUGGGGGAUUCCUUAAAGUCAGUCAAGUCAUCCGCAUUCGCAGAGAAAAGAUCCAGCCGGCUGCAAGGGCAGAGCAUCGUUUGUACUCGGAUUGCAUUGGAAGCACCCGAGCUCCCAUGGCAACCUCGGCUCCUGCUGGAGGGCUUUAUUCCAUGCGCCGCCGUGGAGAGCCCCGUGGCAUCCUUUGCUGUGCGCAUCCUUACCCUUCAGCUUGCAGCGGGGUUUGCCUGCAGCCGGCCGCCACCAGCAGGAGAGGUGCGUUAUCUCCAUCCAGCUGCACCGUGAGCUAAUUGCAAAUGCAAACAUGCAGAAUUUGCCAUAAAAUGAGUGAGCCACAUAGUGGCACCUACCUACCUCAUCACGGGCAUUUAUGAAGAGGCAUUCAAGAUGCAGUCAAGGCAACCAUGAUGAAGAGCACCGAACAAUUUCCCAGUCAUCUUUUAUGGAUGGAAUACCUGAAAACUGAAUGCAAGAGAAUCAGAGAAUUUCAGGAGUUGGAAGGGACAUCAAGAGAUCGAGUACAACUCCCCUUCUAAAGCAGGUUCCCUACAAUAAAUCACACAGGUAGGCACUGAGCUGGGUCUUGAAUAUCUCCAUAGAAGGAAACUCCACAGUGUCUCUAGGCAAGCUGUUCCAGUGCUCCAUCAUCCUUAUCAUAAAGAAGUUCUUCCACAUGUUUGUAUGGAAUUUCUUAUGUUCAAGUUUUAGGCCACUGUUCCUUGUCCUAUCACUACACACCACUGAGCCUGGCCUCAUCCGCUUGCCUCCCACCUCCCUUUAGAUAUUUAUGAAAAAGGAAAAAGGGAAUCCAACUCAGAUGGAGAGUUGAAAUAGCUGUACAGUUAACUUCCUCUGAAACUUCUCCUAUCUGAGAGGGCAGAGCAGAGGGCUUGGGACUGCAAGAUCCAGUGACAUAACUUGUGUAAACCCUGUGCAUUCUGGGCUUUUAGGCUUACUGCAAGAUGCAGGCAGUCUCAUUGAAAACACAUGAAGAAAGCAAGUCUCCACCAAACAACUACCGAAAAGCAAUGGUUGCUCUAGGGCAUUGCCUAAACAGUAUUACUGUCUACUAGCAGUAUUCAAAAUUGGGAAGUAUUUCCCCAGCCUAGCAAAGCACGUAAGCACAUGGUUAAUAACACACAGUGUAAUAGUUCCAGGGACUCCAAUCAAAUUAAGCUAUGUGCUUACAAGCUCUGCUGAACUGGAACCAGAUUGCAUUAGCUUGCUUUAACCUCUCCACAGAUCACAAACACUAAGCUGGAGACACCUGCUUAGAGAACUGGAGGUAACAGAGCGAUGCAGGAGGAGGCAGCGCUCUGACUGUGGCUGCUGUGAUGUGCUGGGCUGAUGCUGAGCCCAGUAUGCAAUUCUGGGCUUCAGCAAACCCAGGAGUUAAUUCAGAUGCUGUACCAUGAUUUGGGGAAAUAAAAUCAAAUUAACCAGAGACCUUGGCCAGGAUAAUUUUCUUGAUAAGAAAUGCUAUGCGUGCAGAAAGAGUGGAACUUCUACAUGUAAAAAGAGUGAGACACAAAGUGAUCUGUUGGCAAUAUCCAACCCUACAAGAGAUGACUGAGGCAAGAUACAGGCUGGUUUAGAGACUGUGAUCAAAGGAGUGACAGCCGCUUCCAAUCUGCAUGAACUUUGUGUUUUGUCACUUGGGGUUUUCUUACAUUAGCAAGGAGUGUUACUGGCACAGCUCAAGCGAGACUAAAAAACCCUGCCACUGCCACUGCUGUUACCCAGUGCUGUCUGUACAAAGACUAUACUGCUUAAUGUCCUUCUUGUUAAUUGAAAUUGGAUUUUUUGUCUGAGAAACG
ensembl:lncRNA